UCCUCAUAAGUGGUGUAUUGCUUAAGCC
rnacentral:piRNA from 1 species